UCCGGUUUGAAUCCAUGCUUUCAAGUUAUUUCCUGACCAUCUGAAUGUGGAGCUGAAAUGGAGACUCAUCAGACCAGACAUUUUUCCAUCUUCUAUCGUCCUGUUUUGGUCUGGCUUCACCCCCUCUUCGCUGACAUCCCCCACAAAGAACUAAUCAGAACCAGGUCUUUGAUUGUAUUGUGAUGCCGCUGGUUAUCCCCAUCCACCUCCUUUUUUUUGGCCAUAGUUGGUACCUCUAGCACACCCAUCUAUAGGUGACAUCUGACUCGAGUCAGUUGUCACCUAUAGAUGUGUUUGCAGUGUUGAGAGGAACCGGUUUGAUGGUCUAAGGACUGGGUCUCUGCUUUUUGCAGAUGACAUUGUUCUGUUGGCUUCAUAGGGCCAUGGUCUCUAACUCUCACAUGAGCAAUUUGUGGACGAGGUUGGGGUGAAAAUCAGCACCUUCAAAUCCAAGACUGAUUCUCAUCUGGAAAAGGUGGAGCGUCCUCCCCAGGUCAAGAAUGAUACCCUGGCUCAAGCAAAGGAUGUUCAAGUAUCUCAGGAUCUUGCUGACGAGUGAGGGGAGGGUGGAGCGGGAGAAUAACAGGUGGAGCGGCCUGCAGUGACGUGAACGCUUCAUCAGUCUAUCAUAGUGAUGAUAGAGCUGAGCUGAAAGGUGAAGCUGUGGUGUGGUGGAGGGACUACAGUAUGUCUCGCAGAAGAAGUUGCCUGGGACAGGGAAGUCUGGGCUUCUCUGCUAAGGCUGCUGCCCCUGCAACCCAACCUUGGAAAAGCAGCAGGAAUGGAUGGAUGGAUGGAUGGAUGG